rnacentral:rRNA from 1 species
UCGGGAAUCUUGGGCAAUGGGCGCAAGCCUGACCCAGCAACGCCGCGUGGAGGAUGAAGUCCCUCGGGAUGUAAACUCCGAAAGAAGGGGACGAAUAAGCAUGGGCUAAUACCCCGUGCGAUGACGGUACCCUUUGUAAGCCCCGGCUAACUACGUGCCAGCAGCCGCGGUAAUACGUAGGGGGCAAGCGUUGUUCGGAUUUACUGGGCGUAAAGCGCGCGUAGGCGGCACUGCAAGUCACUUGUGAAAUCUCCGGGCUUAACUCGGUAGGGGCCAAGUGAUACUGCAGAGCUAGAGUGCGGAAGAGGCAGCUGGAAUUCUCGGUGUAGCGGUGAAAUGCGUAGAUAUCGAGAGGAACACCGGUGGCGAAGGCGGGCUGCUGGGCCGACACUGACGCUGAGGCGCGAAAGCUAGGGGAGCAAACA